rnacentral:lncRNA from 1 species
UUCACAUGGAGCCAAUUUCUAUUUCGAGACCCCAGCUGUUAGCAUUCAUCACUUCUGAGGCUGUGUAGAGUGGUAUUGCUAACCACCCCAAUCCUUCAGCCACUGGAGGGAUGGGGAUGGGCCCCCACUAUUUAUAGCUGGGGAGGAGCCUCUUAACAUUUCUGUUUUAGAAUAUCAUCAUGUUCUGGUGAACUGGAAUUGUGAUGAAAGGAGUUUGGAUAAGAAGUAAAUUGGGGCAAGCUAGCCUGCUUUCCACCAGAGCAUCUCCCUCCAAAGAUGCAAGUGUGUGGAAAUGAGACUGCAGGGAGAACUUCCAGGCAACAAAGGAUGUGAGACUAUAGAAGAGGCACUAUAGCUGGGCUCAUGGAGGAGGGAUGCCGCUCUGGACUUUGCCCAGGGGAUGCUGGAUCUCUGAUAUGAAGGAAGAAGAGGGGGAGGAAGGGUCCCCAAGCCUCUGACCUUGAUCUGAGCAUCACAGAAGCCUCCUCCCCUGAGGAUCCUGCAGUAGCCAAGCCACCAGCUUUCACAGAUGAUGGCUCACACUGAAAUAACUUGUUCCUAGGGUAGUUGGUGAUCAAUGACUCAAAUUAAACCUUAGAAAAGUUUUUUUUCUUCCUGACACUUUAUAGGUUUCUCUACUUAUCUCCUCCCUGGAUGGCUGUAUAAGCCAGAUGACGGCUACCUGAACACUCUAGAAAAAGUGAAUUCACAGAGGCUUUCACAGGGCACAGCCUCGCAGUCUGGAGGGAGAAGAGGGCAAAGCAGUCUUCACGGAUGCCACCUACUGCCUAGCUGGGCAGAGAGCCAGUGGAUCAGAGAGGCCGGCUCUGUUCUUGGCAGGAAAUGAGGGGCUGGCAUGGAAAUGCCACCCAGGCUGGGAACAAGAUCUGUGGAGUGGCAGCCUGAGUGGGUGAGCUUGAUCUGCAGUCCUUUCAUCUCAAAGAGAAUGGCCAGCAAGGAGCCCAUUCAUGGAGCCUUGUUGGACAACUCCACCUACACAGUCUUCAGUGGUGCUCUGGAGAACAGAAGCUGACAACAGGCUAUGGUGAUCCAGAGUCCUCACCGUCUACUCUCCCAUCCCUUCAACCAAACUUUCCUGGGCAACUCUGAUGCCAGGCAUUUCUAGCACUGUGACAGAACCUGGUGGAGGACAGAGGGCUCCACUUCAAAGGUAACCACCUGUCUCCUUCUGCUAUAACAGGGCUGACCUCAGUGCAGCAGAGGGCAGAGCUUGGAGGCAGCUGCUGAGAAUUUGCACUCUAAAGACAUCCACCUAAAUCACAAGCUUUAUAUCUGGGCACUCAGCCAGACCUCCUGACCAUAUCCUGGACUGCGGACUUUGGAUGGUGGAACGGGGGUGGAAUUGAACAUUAAAUGAGCAACAUGCUAAUUCCAUGCAAAUGAAUAUCUAUUUUGAAUCAACAGCUUGGGCACUUUUUCUAGGAGGGCUGAGGCAGCAGGAAUCUAAAGAGAGGAUGAGAGGGGGAGGGGUUUCUCUCAGAGGUGGCAGAGAGUGCAAAGGGGGCUCCAGGCUGGGCAGAGCCACCUCCUGCCCACAGUUCCUAAUGCUAUUUGAUUGGCUCAUUAGCAAGUAUGAAACAUGGGAAGUCCAAAAAAAAGGAAUAAAGAAAAAAACCCCAACUCUGAAAUGAAUAAACUAACAGAUGGAGACUUAAUUCAAUUUGCAUGCAACCUACCCUAGCACCAAGGACUUUGUUUGCUUAACAAUGGAGACCCUGGGGGUGGGGAGGGGUCCCUCCUGCAGAGGGGCUGAUGGGGAUGAUCCCAGAUCAUCUCUUCCAUGCUGCUCUUAUCCUUUCCUGGCGGCCAGAUGGGUAUUCUUGUUUUAAAGCUCCUCUCCCUUGGGCUGGUCCUGAAUUCAUUGUCUUAUCCAGAGAGAAAGGUUCUUGGGUAGAAAUGAGGCUGGCUUUGUGGGAAGGAUGGGGUGGGGAACUGUGGGUAGCAGCAGCAGAGGGGGAUGAAAAGCCAUUCAGAAGCCAAGGGACUAGGUCAGGGGGACACCUGCCCCCACAUCUCAGCCUGCCCCCAAGCCCCACACUCAGAGUGAAUCAGAAGGCCAGGUAGCUGGGAAGCAGAGACUCAACCCUGGUCUGCCUGACUCCAAAGCCUGCAUCCUUUCCACUGUAUAUCCUGCUCCCAAGACCUGGAUCCAAGUCUUGCUUUGCCACUAACUAGCUGUUUUGAUUGUCAUCAGGUGACCUGAAGUCUCUGAACAUUGAGAUUCCUCAUUUGAUGAGCAGGAAUAAUAGCCAAAUGAACCUCGCCAUAGCUGCUGUGCAGCAAAUACCAAAUGUGUGGAUAUGGAAGCAUUGUGUGCUGUUUGCAUUUCUAUCCAGGUUCUCACAUUAGGGACAAUCAUUGCUAGGGUCCAGGGUGUCACUCACCUUCCUUCCCUCUAGGGAGCUGACAGAUGGGGUAUAUGCACAAAGAACAGUAACCAAAUGGGAAAAGAUGAACUACUUUACUAAACAUCAUAGCAGUGCCAAGCUCUGGCAAAAGCCAGAUAGGCCAAAUCCUGAAACAGAAUCCUGGGAAACAAAUCACACUUCCCCUGGCCCACAGGGAGAGAGGAAAAGAGAGAGAUGGCCUGGCAUCCCUGAGCACAUGUCUGACCAACCACAGGGUAUGGGCUGUAGGCCUAUCUCAGCCUCUAAGGUGCAAAAAGGAACAGAGAAAACCAGGGUGUUCACAUCUGGUUUUAGAAGGGUCCAGGUGUAUGUAGGAGAGGAAUAACUUUUCCUAUGCCCUCUUAAGUUCCGUGGCCAGCUGGGCCUGACAAUUAAGUUGACAUAGACUAACAAGAUAAAACCAUACGAAUUUUAUUUAAUAUUUUUGUGUGUACAUGGGAGCCUUCAUAGGAAAAAUGAAGAUCUGAAGAAGUGGUUAAGACCAAGAGUUUAUGUACCUUUUUAAACAAAGAUUAAUAAAUUUUUGAAGAAGUGAUGAGACAAAGAAAAAGGGUGUUAAAUUUCUAAGUGUGGUAAUUUGUGGGAAAAUGAUGAGGAAAUAUGUGGGGGAAAACUAAAGCAAGAGAAGGAUUAUUUUAGUAGGUUUGUUUGUACAGAUCCAUUUCAGCAUUUGACUCCUAGUCUCUGGGUAAGAGUAUUCUCUAUCUGAUGUAGGAGCCAAGGGGUUGGCCCUCUGAAGGUUUACUGAAAAAUCACCUCACAAAAGGCAGAUUAAUUGGGGGAAAAAAAAUACAAAUCUAUGUAACGUGUACACAUGGGAGCCUGCAGAAUGAAGAUCCAAAGAUGCAGGGGAAAUUGUCCAUUUUUAUGUUUAGGUUCAACAAAGUAUGGACAGCCAUGUAGAAAUAUGAUUGGACAAAAAGGGUCUGAUCUAAUGCUAAUAGAUUGAGUAUGGAAAUCCAGCAAGGUCUGUCUGUCUAGAUUCUUCUUGACAUCUCUGAGCAUGCGUUCCUUCCUCCUGGGUGUAGGACAGGUCUCCCUCUGGAGUAGAAUCUUACGACCUACAGUUAAACAAAGUAGAUUGGAUAAUUUCUUCAUGGCCAGUUUUUACAUAGAAAGGUAGAGGAAAAUUAGAGUAAUACUUUUAAGUUAUAUUGCUGGCUUUGGGGAAAAGGAGUUCUGGUUUCUGAGACAACCCUCAGGGAACAGGGAUUCUCAUUUUUAUGGCUGGCCUCAGGGGGGAAUGGGACUGAGAGAGAGAUGAGGGCAGGAGAAGGUCAGAGAAACACUUUCACUUCCGAGGCCUUCAUUUUGCAAUAUUGCUUUCCAAGCCUCAACGUGGGUACAAGGAGGACACCUUUCUCGUAGAAAAUCUUAUGACCUGCUUUUAGGUAGAAAGGGAAGGUCAGCGAGCCCUUCCUGCAUCUGCUGCUUCUCAAGUGCCUUCAGCUCAAAAUAUCUCAUAUGCCAAACGGGCAUAUUUUGGGGUGGCAUGUUUUGAACUCCCUCCUGUGCUUUGCCUGGGGACAAAAAGGAGACCCCCUGGCUUUCUGCAAAAUAAAUGAGAAGGGACCGUGCUUUUGAAGGCCCAGGACUUGCCUCAAUAGUAAGGGUGGCUACUGCCAUGUUAGGCUUUGACCUAUCGAUUUCCUACCUGAGGUUUUUUAUGGGAGGCAGGAUGGCUCUUCUUGUUGUUCUUUUUCUCCCUGUCCUAUAUAUAGGGCAAGGGACAGGCAUGAGAACUUUUUGCCUCAGCAAUAUUUGACCCUGAUUCAGAGAGCUAGGUGCUGGGGACUUCAUCUCUCUUGAAAGUCAGAAUCCUCAACUCAACCUCAAUGAAGGCCCAGGUGCUAUUGGAAGUAUCUGCAGAAUCACAGUUUCAUUUGCCAGAGGUGUGGGAAGUAAGAAGGACAAAGGAGGUCAUGAGGGAGGAAGUCAGGUCUGGGAAUUCAGAUCUAUCUGCCAAAUAACUGAUCAAUUAGUGUUGCUCAAGUUGAAAGGCUGCCCUGUUGGACAACUUCCUUUGUCAUCUCUUUUCAGUGGAAAGAAAAUGAAUAUUGAUCCUGUUCUUGGCUCCAUGCUCAGCCCCUUCAAAUGAAUAUGAUUGGGUUUUCCCAAUGUAGUGGGUGACACUCGGACGUUUAGGGGUAAUUGCAUCUUCUCAGAACUCAGCCCUUGAAGUGGGGGCUGAUUGAAGUGAGUCUGAGAGGAUUUGGGGGUCACUAGAGGUUAGAAAAAGGCAGCUUCAGGUCUCAGAUGGUGUCAGACUGGUUUUCUGCAUCCUCAAGGGGCAGGCUUUGAACCUGAGUCACCUUAGAACUGGCUCAAAAAUUAAGUUUGCAGAAGCUAAAAAAUGGUUCCAAUGAAUCGUGGGAGACCAGAAUAUGCCACCCCAAAAUAUGCCUCUUUUGCAUAAGGAUUGUUGAGCUGAAGGCAAUUAAGAAUAAGCAGCUGCAGGAAAGCUCUCUGCCCUCCCUCCAUUUGCCUAAAAGCAGGACACAGAUUUACAAAGACAAAAGGUAUCCUGUCCCUACUUCUAACAAGGAGAACACAGGAUAAACUUUGAAGACAACUUUAGAUCCUUAUUCCACCUGGAGACAGCACCAGAGGAAUCUGCAUUAACAAGCUUUACUAACUAACAUUUAUCUGCCAUUUAUUUGCCUUUCCACAAGUCGCUGCCCCUAGAGACUCAAAGUCCUUUUUCUUUGUCUUUUCACAUCUCUAAAAAUUUACUGUUCUUUGUUGAAGAUGCUAUAUAAGCUGAACUUCAAAGACACUUCUUGGACUUCAAGGACACCCACUCAUUCUCUGGGUGUCUCCCAUGCAUGUGUGAAAUAUAUAUAUUAAUAAAUGCCUUUUUGGUUUUCUU